rnacentral:tRNA from 1 species
GUUUCCAUAGUGUGUGGUGGUUAUCACGUUAAGUCCCCAACUGAAAGGUCCCCAGUUUGAAACUGGGUGGAAACA